ACAUAUUCUAGGGUAAACCUUGGCCAAAAAAAAAAUUAUUCCCUAAAACACUUGAAUUUACUUCCCUGCUAAAGUGAAACCUGAUGGAAAGGAAGUGAAAAAAAGAAGUGACUAUCAGGGGAAAAAAAGAAGUGAAUAUCAGAGAAAAAAUCCUGCUUAAUUUGACAUCUGGCAACAACCAGACAAGGCCACAGAACAUGCUCGGCUAGAGUACAAUCUAUGCACUAUCUCACAACAUCCGGUCACACUAGCAAGUCACAGGCUCACAGCCAUGGAAAUUUGUGUUCUCCCAUGGCUUGAAGGAGAUAAGAGACGCCAAGGAAGCCGGCCAAUGCCUGAACCAGAUUGCACCUUGGGAGCUUGACAGGGACCUGCUGCAUCCACAGAAUCAUACGCCAUUUGCCUCCUGGCGUUGUCUUCCCAAGCUGGUUGUUCUCCGAGGGCGAAAAUUCUCCUCCUUUCGUUCGAGUUUUGAGAUCAGAGGAGCCAUGGUGCUUGGGACCAUCACCAAUUCACCAUGAUGCCUGUCAUGGUGGUCCGUGCUAGCUAGCUAGCACAAGCGGGAUAUCAUCGUCGUCUUCGAUGGCGUCCCAAGCAAGCCGAAUCUACAAUUUGGCAUUUCUUUUCCUCUCCUUUUUCGCGUCCCAAUUUCUUUUUUGCUGGAAUAUAUUCUUGAGAAAAGGAUCGUAAUAAUGUAGGGAAAGAAAGCCCACUUGCAGUAGUAAAUGCUGUGACAUAGAUAGGAAAGGAAGGUGAUCGAUAAAUAGAGAAAGCGGUGUUUGAGCUGUACCAACAGUUGCUUCAGGCCACUUGCUGUGCAGUGUGCAGUGUGCACAGCAUAAAACUACCUACUGGUGUUUCUAUCUUUAUGCCAACAACCAAGAACAUGUCAGUUACAUUGGCACCUUCUCUCUAGUUACAUAGACACAGAAGCAACAGCACGGAUAGCUUGUCUUCUCUCUUCUAGGGCACCUCCAUUUCAGAUCCAAGAUGUCCAACCAGGAUUGAUGGAAGCCGUCUAGUGAUUUAAUAGCCUGCCGUGUUAACCAUGGAUUAUUGCAGAGAAGAAAGUGUCGGCACCGCACCCCGGUGCAUGGCAAUAUGAUGCUCCCAUGAAUCUACAGAGCACUGGCAUGGCGUCACUGUCAAGUGCCUCACCUGCCAUUAUCAUCAAGACAAAACAUGAUUAAUAAAUUAAUCAAAUAAACAAACCUCAAUUCACUGAGAGAGAAAAAAAAUCUGAACCAGACUACCUUACAUGCUGGUCAUGCGUGUGAGAGAGAUCUGCCUACCGUCCAUCCAUGGCUAUGUGGGUGUGACAGAUCAUCUGUAGACAAACCUGAGCAGGAUGCUUUCUCCAUAACUGAUUCUAUCAUGUAGUACCAGAAUUUACUUCGUGUUAAA